CCUGGCUGGCGCUGCCCUACGGGGAUGAGUUCGGCAGGUGAGCGCACCUGGGGACAGGUGGGACAGGAGCAGGAGCACCGGGAGUACCUGUGGGACAUGCCCCGCGCCUGGCUGGCGCUGCCCUACGGGGAUCAGUUCGGCAGGUGAGCGCACCUGGGGACAGGUG